rnacentral:rRNA from 1 species
CCCUUAGAUGUCCGGGGCCGCACGCGCGCUACACUGAAGGAAUCAGCGUGGCUUUCUCCCUGACCCGAAAGGGUUGGGAAACCCGUUGAAUCUCCUUCGUGAUAGGGAUUGGGGCUUGAAAUUGUUCCCCAUGAACGAGGAAUUCCCAGUAAGCGCGAGUCAUAAGCUCGCGUUGAUUACGUCCCUGCCCUUUGUACACACCGCCCGUCGCUACUACCGAUUGAACGGUUUAGUGAGGGCCUCGGAUUGGCCUCGGCCCGCUCUUUACCGGGCGGCGCCGUUGGUCGAGAAGACGCUCGAACUUGAUCGUUUAGAGGAAGUAAAAGUCGAACA